GAUGAACGCUGGCGGCGUGCCUAAUACAUGCAAGUCGAGCGAACAGACGAGAGUGCUUGCACUCUCUGACGUUAGCGGCGGACGGGUGAGCAACACGUGGGUAACCUACCUAUAAGACUGGGAUAACUUCGGGAAACCGGAGCUAAUACCGGAUAAUAUUUAGCUUCGCAUGAAGCAAUAGUGAAAGACGGUUCUGCUGUCACUUAUAGAUGGACCCGCGGUGUAUUAGCUAGUUGGUGAGGUAACGGCUCACCAAGGCAACGAUACAUAGCCGACCUGAGAGGGUGAUCGGCCACACUGGGACUGAGACACGGCCCAGACUCCUACGGGAGGCAGCAGUAGGGAAUCUUCCGCAAUGGACGAAAGUCUGACGGAGCAAUGCCGCGUGAGUGAAGAAGGUUUUCGGAUCGUAAAACUCUGUUGUAAGGGAAGAACAAGUACGUUAGUAACUGAACGUACCUUGACGGUACCUUACCAGAAAGCCACGGCUAACUACGUG
rnacentral:rRNA from 1 species